rnacentral:lncRNA from 1 species
CGCCGGCGGUGGCGGCGGCGGGUCUCUAGGGCGCACGGCCCGGACGCGGGCUCACGGGUGCAUCGCGGUGCCGUCGGGCCCAGGCAGGACUUUGCCCCGCCGCUGCGGCAAACAAAGCGCCGAGAAGGGCGAGCGCGUGCAGUCAGUCCCCUGAGCUUCCUUCCUUCCUGCUGCUGCGCCCUCCUCGCCCGUGCGCACUGCGCCCGCCCCGAGGACACCCACGCGGACCCGGAGGAAGCCCCGCGCGGAGCCGCCUCCGAGGACGGCGCUCCUGAGCCCCUGAUUGUUUGGAUCUCCGCACAAGCGCCGCUUCUGGUGCACUUUCUUCCCGUUCGUGAUCACCGCCAGCCGCACGCUGCUGCCCUUGUGGGUCGGGCGUGUGGAAAAUGAAAGUUUUUUCCGCUGCAGAAACCUCCCUGUAGUGGAGGGGGCACGCACAUGAGCGCAUGCUUGUAAAAGCGAGAGGACCGGACCACAAGUUCGGGAAGACUUCCCGGAGGAAAUGUGGAGCGGAAUGAAAGGAGAAUUAGAGAAAGAAGGCACCCUCUGGGCCUUGCGCGUUGUGCCAUCGCGUUUACAACCUGCUGGGACUUAGGGAAAGCCACCGGCGCCACCCAGACCCGGCCCUAACCGUUAGGAUUUUGUUCCCAAGAGGAGGUUCUUAGCGUGCAAAGUAUGCGCUCAGAAGGGAGUAAAAUAAAGUGGGGUCAGGGACAGCAUGGCUUCAGGCCCUGGGGAUAACGAGGCCGUGGAGGAAGGACAUCCUUAGGACGAGGGGCAGGGACAGAAUGGCGUUCGGGAGGGAUGGUGUCAAGGAGGAUGCACAUGCUUCUUGAAGGACAUACAUACAUGAGCGGUGGUUUUUGAGUCAACUCGACAGGGUUUCUCUGUGUAGACCUAACUGUCUUGGAACUCGAUCUGUAGACCAGGCUGGCUUCAAACUCACAGAGAUUGACCUCCUCUGCCUCCAGAGUGUUGGGAUUAAAGGUGUGUGUGGCUGCCGCCGCCGCCGCCGCCACCACCACCUGGCUGAAAAGAAUCGAUUUAAAAGAGGAAGGACUUGGUCUGACCCGAGGCUUAAAGGUGAAUCAGUGUGUAACUAUACUUAGCAUUCAGCUGUCCACAACUCGGAAGACAAACCUGAAUACACCUUUGCCCUGAACUUGGACUUCCAGCCUCUAGAGUUGUGGCCUAGAACCCACCAAGUAAGUGGGCCAAUGAGCAUCAGCACCUACCUGUUUCCACCUCCCCAGUGAUAGGAUUACAAAUGUGCCACCAUACCCAG